rnacentral:rRNA from 1 species
UGAGUACGAGACGCUAAGGCGUUGAAGCAGUCUAUGUCAGACUUCCAAGAAAAGCUCGCAAUGUCAUAAACAAGAAAUGCCUGUACCAUAACCGACACAGGUGGGUAGGUAGAGUAUACUAAGGGGCGCGAGAUAACUCUCUCUAAGGAACUCGGCAAAAUGACUCCGUAACUUCGGGAGAAGGAGUGCCUUAUUUUUAUAAGGUUGCAAUAACAAGAUCCAAGCAACUGUUUACCAAAAACACAGGUCUCCGCUAAGUCGUAAGACGAUGUAUGGGGGCUGACGCCUGCCCAGUGCCAGAAGGUUAAAGAAGUUGGUUAGUUUCGGCGAAGCUGAUGACUGAAGGCCUGGUGAACGGCGGCCGUAACAAUAACGGUCCUAAGGUAGCGAAAUUCCUUGUCGGGUAAGUUCCGACCCGCACGAAAGGCGUAAUGAUUUGGAUACUGUCUCGGAGAGGGGCUCGGUGAAAUAGACUUGUCUGUGAAGAUGCGGACUACCUGCACCUGGACAGAAAGACCCUAUGAAGCUUUACUGUAACUUGAGAUUGAAAUUGGACUUUAUUUGCGCAGUAUAGGUGGGAGACGUUGAGAAUGUUCUUGCGGGAAUAUUGGAGUCAUCAGUGAGAUACCACUCUUGUAAUGUUAGAUUUCUAACUUUGGAUCAUGAUCUGGUCAAAGAACAGUUUCAGGCGGGCAGUUUGACUGGGGCGGUCGCCUCCCAAACGGUAACGGAGGCGCACAAAGGUUUCCUCUGAACGUGUAGAAAUCGUAUCUAGAGUGUAAAGGCAUAAGGAAGCUUGACUGUGAGACCUACAAGUCGAGCAGGGACGAAAGUCGGUCUUAGUGAUCUGACGGUGCUGAGUGGAAAGGCCGUCACUCAACGGAUAAAAGUUACUCUAGGAUAACAGGCUGAUCUCCCCCAAGAGUUCACAUCGACGGGGAGGUUUGGCACCUCGAUGUCGGCUCAUCGCAUCCUGGGGCGGUAGUACGUCCCAAGGGUUGGGCUGUUCGCCCAUGAAAGCGGUACGCGAGCUGGGUUCAGAACGUCGUGAGACAGUUCGGUCCAUAUCCGGUGUAGGCGUUAGAAUAUUGAGAGGAGCCUUCUUUAGUACGAGAGGACCGAGAAGGACAUACCUCUGGUGUACCAGUUAUCGUGCCAACGGUAAACGCUGGGUAGCUAUGUAUGGAGUGGAUAACCGCUGAAAGCAUCUAAGUGGGAAGCCCACCUUAAGAUAAG